rnacentral:rRNA from 1 species
ACACGUGGUAUCCUGUCUGAAUAUGGGGGGACCAUCCUCCAAGGCUAAAUACUCCUGACUGACCGAUAGUGAACCAGUACCGUGAGGGAAAGGCGAAAAGAACCCCGGCGAGGGGAGUGAAAAAGAACCUGAAACCGUGUACGUACAAGCAGUGGGAGCCUCUUAAUGGGGUGACUGCGUACCUUUUGUAUAAUGGGUCAGCGACUUAUAUUCUGUAGCAAGGUUAACCGAAUAGGGGAGCCGAAGGGAAACCGAGUCUUAACUGGGCGUUAAGUUGCAGGGUAUAGACCCGAAACCCGGUGAUCUAGCCAUGGGCAGGUUGAAGGUUGGGUAACACUAACUGGAGGACCGAACCGACUAAUGUUGAAAAAUUAGCGGAUGACUUGUGGCUGGGGGUGAAAGGCCAAUCAAACCGGGAGAUAGCUGGUUCUCCCCGAAAGCUAUUUAGGUAGCGCCUCGUGAAUUCAUCUCCGGGGGUAGAGCACUGUUUCGGCAAGGGGGUCAUCCCGACUUACCAACCCGAUGCAAACUGCGAAUACCGGAGAAUGUUAUCACGGGAGACACACGGCGGGUGCUAACGUCCGUCGUGAAGAGGGAAACAACCCAGACCGCCAGCUAAGGUCCCAAAGUCAUGGUUAAGUGGGAAACGAUGUGGGAAGGCCCAGACAGCCAGGAUGUUGGCUUAGAAGCAGCCAUCAUUUAAAGAAAGCGUAAUAGCUCACUGGUCGAGUCGGCCUGCGCGGAAGAUGUAACGGGGCUAAACCAUG